rnacentral:lncRNA from 1 species
UCAAUGUCGACAAAAAAUGCAAAUGCAACACAUUUUUAAGUCAACAAUAGAAAUAGCAAAGAGAAUAGCAGGCAAUGAAUUAACCUUUUUUAGAAAGUUUAGAAAGAAAUUUGAUUAGCGUAUUUCAUUUCGAUAAUAUUAUUUGGUAUUUACACGCCAUAAUCCCGCUUAAAUUUUUAUAUAAAAAUUACCUUUUUUUCCAGGGGGUUGAAAAUUAGCUGAAGGAAGUAAUAAUUUAGUUACGAAUCAUUUCCAAUAAUUUUGAUAUUGAAUUUGAUAGGUUGUGGUUUAUUACACCAAAAGCUAAUAAAAUAUAACAUGAUACUAGAAACAGUCUCUGAAUAAGUUUAAGGUGUUAUUUAACUCAUAAAUUCAACUGAAUAUUUAUUAACUGAAUUAAAUUCUGUAAUUAUUACAAGAAUAUUUAUAAACCUCAUCUUACUCCAUCUUACAUACAUAGAAUCGGCUUGGCAGAUACUCCCAAUUGUACUUGUGGCAAAAUCGGAGAUCUAACACAUGUCAUAUUAGAAUGUCAUUUAGAGAUAAAUAACAUAAACUACCUUUAUAAGGAAUUACAAAAUUUAAAAUGUUGUUUCCCAAUAAACCUUAAUACUUUAAUAUUUACAAAUGAUAAUAUGGAAAUUCUUCAUCUCAUUUAUAAACAUGUUAAAUCAUGUAAAUACAAGUUGUAAACUAGAAAUAAUUUGUUAAUUUGGUUUGACAAAAUUAACAAGAAAAAAAUAAUAUAUAAAAAAAGAACAUAUACAGGGUGUCCCGGAAAAUAGUGCAUUCCUUAAAGGUAUAGGUAGAAGGCACCAUGUAGAACAAAAAACUCCUCUUAUAACAUUUUUUUCUAAAUUCAACCGUUUGACCAAAAAACUAUAAAACAUUUUGGAACGCAAAUUCAAAUCUGGCAACUCUGUGAAGUACAAAAAUCUAAACGUAAAUAGUCCCAUGUUUAGUAAACAGAUAAUUUGGAAGAAUCCUGUUUAGUGUCAACGCCGAAAAUGUUUUUGAAUCGUGUGUUCAUGAGUAAUAUUAUGAUAUUAUGAUGUUUAUUUAUGGCAGAUCAAUAAAUGGAGAGGCAUAAUACCUACUAAAAUUCUUUCAAAAUGUUUUGCUGGAAUUUCUCGUCGUAUGAGUGCAUGUUACUCUAUGAAUUCAUGUGUUCGCAAAAGUGGUGGUUCAUUUAAAACAUGUGUUUUCAUCUUAAAAUAUGUAAGUAUAAUUCGUUUAAAAUUAUGCCAUAUUUCAACUACAUUUUAAAAAAA